CAGGCCUAACACAUGCAAGUCGAGCGAACAGAAGGGAGCUUGCUCCCGGAUGUUAGCGGCGGACGGGUGAGUAACACGUGGGUAACCUGCCUGUAAGACUGGGAUAACUCCGGGAAACCGGAGCUAAUACCGGAUAGUUCCUUGAACCGCAUGGUUCAAGGAUGAAAGACGGUUUCGGCUGUCACUUACAGAUGGACCCGCGGCGCAUUAGCUAGUUGGUGGGGUAAUGGCUCACCAAGGCGACGAUGCGUAGCCGACCUGAGAGGGUGAUCGGCCACACUGGGACUGAGACACGGCCCAGACUCCUACGGGAGGCAGCAGUAGGGAAUCUUCCGCAAUGGACGAAAGUCUGACGGAGCAACGCCGCGUGAGUGAUGAAGGUUUUCGGAUCGUAAAGCUCUGUUGUUAGGGAAGAACA
rnacentral:rRNA from 1 species